CGGGGAUAUGGCGGACAGGUAGAGGGGAGUAGCGGGGAUAUGGUGGACAGGUGGAGGGGAGUAGCGAUGACAUGGCGGACAGGUGGACGGGAGUAGCGGGGAUAUGGCGGACAGGUGGACGGGAGUAGCGGGGAUAUGGCGGACAGGUGGACGGGAGUAGCGGGGAUAUGGCGGACAGGUGGACGGGAGUAGCGGGGAUAUGGCGGACAGGUGGACGGGAGUAGCGGGGAUAUGGCGGACAGGUG